AUUGAACGCUGGCGGCAGGCCUAACACAUGCAAGUCGAGCGGAUGAAGGGAGCUUGCUCCUGGAUUCAGCGGCGGACGGGUGAGUAAUGCCUAGGAAUCUGCCUGGUAGUGGGGGAUAACGUCUGGAAACGGGCGCUAAUACCGCAUACGUCCUGAGGGAGAAAGUGGGGGAUCUUCGGACCUCACGCUAUCAGAUGAGCCUAGGUCGGAUUAGCUAGUUGGUGGGGUAAAGGCCUACCAAGGCGACGAUCCGUAACUGGUCUGAGAGGAUGAUCAGUCACACUGGAACUGAGACACGGUCCAGACUCCUACGGGAGGCAGCAGUGGGGAAUAUUGGACAAUGGGCGAAAGCCUGAUCCAGCCAUGCCGCGUGUGUGAAGAAGGUCUUCGGAUUGUAAAGCACUUUAAGUUGGGAGAAAGGGCAGUAAGUUAAUACCUUGCUGUUUUGACGUUACCAACAGAAUAAGCACCGGCUAACUUCGUG
rnacentral:rRNA from 1 species